CAAACUGAAAACUACAAGAGGAAGGUGAGAACUUUUCUAAAUAGUUUUCUCCAUGAAUUGGACUAGUUUAUUCCGAUAAUUUCAAAAGUCGCCCAAUUUGGUUCACAUGGAUGGCUGGGCUGGUGCCAUAAAUUAGAUUUACUGCUGCCACUUGUUAAGGUUUCUUUAUCUGGUUAGUGCUCCAUGUCAUUGCUCAAAAAACCAUGUAUUCACCGGAUCUUUGUGUAUUGUGCCCUCAUUUGGUCACAUCGUAUUUAUUUGAUACUCCGUACGUUUAGAUACACAUGGAGAUUAACUUCACUUCAUGACCUGCAUCAUGCAUGGAGAAUAGCAUGAUUUUCCCCAGAUAAUUUCAUUCCAAAUGCAUCUUGUUUCCUUGAGAGGUUUUCCCAAUGACAAUCAGGCUCUGGCACUUAGACAAGCAACAAAAGAGCACUCCCAUAUAUCCCGUCCGUCUAUAGACUGUAACAUGUCUUUUAUAUGUAACCUCUGGCUCUUGUCAUUCGGUGCCUGUUGGUGCACAAUCAUCAGACCUUGCAGCUUGUCCCAUUCGUGUACUAACCAUACAUGCUUUUGCUCCUGAAAUCCCUAUAUAUGUACGCAACACACUCCCCUCUCCCACAGCCUCUAUCCCGACACACUCCACUCUCCCCCUCCCCUUAUCAGAAGAGAAGAGGAGGUUUCUAAAGUCAUGUUUCUAUAUAUUUUAGUAAUUCUGUAAAAUUCCAGAAUACUAUACACCUACUGCUCAAUAUUUUACAAUGUAAUAAAUCAUGGAUGCAUGAUAGAUUUUGUUGAUCUAGAUUGCCUUACGUAAUUUGCUUAGUGGAUCUAUUAUGUUGACUUGCGUCAUUAUUUGUUUGAGUGCUCUAAAAAGUAUUUUCAUUAAACGGUUUCACAAUUCUAUUAAACCAUGUAAGCUAUGAACUAUAUACAUUAUCUGAGACAAUCUUUAGGUGAAAAGAAUAACCAAAAUAUUGUGUAUACCACCACCAUGUAAGAAGAGAAUAUAGACAAGCAUUGCGUAUUACUAGUCAAUGUACAAAGCUAUAUAGCGAUGUACUUCUGCUUGUUACUAGCAAUAUAAAGAGCAUUAUUUUUUCAGGCCUUCCAGUGAGCAGGUGCUAGUAAUCGAUGGCGGCAACGAAAUUGGUAAGAUCCCACUCUCUCACUUGGCCUCUCCCCCCCCCCUCUCUUUAUGUGUGUGCAGUCCGCAGGUUUGAACUAUGCAGUAAGUUUAAUAAUAUCUUUAAAAAAUGUGUGCUGCUUUAAUUCAUGGAAAUAGAGAAGCUCUUGAAGCAGUAAAGUCCUUUAUGUGCAGCAGUUAAUUAAGCUUCAUUAUUGUUUUGUAGUUUUCUAAAAAGUACUUUCAUGAACUGGUUACACAUGUUUUUUAUUUUGAUAG
rnacentral:lncRNA from 1 species